rnacentral:rRNA from 1 species
UAUGUGAUCGUCUCUCGCAUAUCAAUAAGCGGAGGAAAAGAAACUAACAAGGAUUCCCCUAGUAACGGCGAGUGAAGCGGGAAGAGCUCAAAUUUGAAAUCUUAAAGGGUUUCCCUUUACGAAUUGUAGUUUAAAGAAGUGUUUUCUGUUGAGGUUUUGGUAAAAGUUCUUUGGAAUAGGACAUCAUAGAGGGUGAGAAUCCCGUAUUUGACCUUUCACUUUCAACUUUGUGAUACACUUUCAAAGAGUCGGAUUGUUUGGGAACGCAGUCCAAAAUGGGUGGUAAAUUUCAUCUAAAGCUAAAUAUUGGCGAGAGACCGAUAGCGAACAAGUACCGUGAGGGAAAGAUGAAAAGAACUUUGAAAAGAGAGUUAAACAGUACGUGAAAUUGUCAAAAGGGAAGCGUUUGACACCAGUGUUGUUUUUCUGAAAAUCAAUUAAAGAACUGUUUAUGCUAAGUUGUUUAGACUUUAUCAGCUAUCUGUUUAGUUUUGAGCUUUUCUUUAAUGCACUUUUCAGUUAACAAGUCAACAUCAAUUUCUUUUGCUGUAAAAAGCUUGAGGAAGGUGGCUUGAGAUUCGUCUUAAGUGUUUAUAGCCUCUUGCCUAUGCAGUCGGAGAGAUUGAGGUCUGCAGCGUAGAUCCUUCGGGGCUAAAUGCAUUUGUGCUAAGUUAUAGCAUUUUAUAGACAACUUGUUGACUAUGAUUUGUCUUGUAGCUUACUCGCUUAUGUUAUUUUACCUACGCUUAGGAUGUUGACUGAUAUGUAGUCGU